rnacentral:RNase_P_RNA from 1 species
GUAAGUUGGGCAGUUAACUUCGGGAUUUAGUCUCCAAACAGACAAGUGAUAAAAUAUAAUCGCUAAUUCUGAGGAAAGUCCGCCCACCCGCAGGCAAUUUUGUCUGCGACAAAGUCAUCCGUGAAAAUGGAUUGCUGUGAAGCAAAGCUCUGUUACAGAAACGGCACAGCUCAUCCCGAGUUAUGAAAACUUGGUUGGAACUUUGAAGGAUGAGAUUUGAUGAAACGAGCAACUUGACUGGUGCAAGGUUUGAAACCGCAUAGUUGAAUGUUAACACGUUUGGUUUGCUAUUAAUUUAACGACGAACGACAAAAAGUGGCUUAUACCCAACUUAC